rnacentral:rRNA from 1 species
CCCUUAGAUGUUCUGGGCCGCACGCGCGCUACACUGGUGCAUUCAACGAGUGUACCUUGGCCGAGAGGCCUGGGCAAUCUUUUGAACGUGCAUCGUGAUAGGGAUAGAUUAUUGCAAUUAUUAAUCUUGAACGAGGAAUUCCUAGUAAACGCAGAUCAUCAAUCUGCAUUGAUUACGUCCCUGCCCUUUGUACACACCGCCCGUCGCACCUACCGAUUGGAUGGUCCGGUGAAGCCUCGGGAUUGUGGCGGUUGCCUUUAUUGGUGGCCGCCGCGAGAACUUGUCUAAACCUUAUCAUCUAGAGGAAGGUGAAGUCGUAACA